UACGGGGGGGGGUAAGCGUUGUUCGGAAUUACUGGGCGUAAAGGGCUCGUAGGCGGCCAACUAAGUCAGACGUGAAAUCCCUCAGCUUAACUGGGGAACUGCGUCUGAUACUGGAUGGCUUGGAUUCGGGAGAGGAAUGCGGAAUUCCGAGGUGUAGCGGUGAAAUGCGUAGAUAUCUGGAGGAACACCGGUGGCGAAGGCGGCAUUCUGGACCGAUAUUGACGCUGAGGAGCGAAAGCCAGGGGAGCAAAGCGGG
rnacentral:rRNA from 1 species